ACCUGUGUGGUUUAGUCGGUUAGGCAUCUGACUUCGGCUCAGGUCAUGAUCUUGCAGCUUGUGGGUUCGAGCCCCGCGUCAGGUU
rnacentral:tRNA from 1 species